rnacentral:miRNA from 1 species
CAGUUGGAUCGAUCAGCAAAAA